GCGGAGAGAUGUAUCUGCCUUCAAGUGGCCUCUCAGCGAUUGAUCUCUGCAAACAAUCAUAGCAAUCAAGCAAUAUCACGGCUGAUAUAGUUAGCAAUUCAGGUCCUGUGGAGCGAUUGAAUUGUCUGUGUAAAUGCAGAGCUUCUCAGCUGUUAGGGGGAUGGUUUCUUUCAACUUGGAUGCCAGAAACAUGCAGACUGCCCCCAGCAGCUGGAGGUGACACUUUUUGGUUGGAACCGAAGAUAAAAAUCUAUCCAGAUAA